rnacentral:rRNA from 1 species
UCUCGUUGAUCCUGCGAGAGGUUGCUGCUAUGAGGGUGCGACUUAGCCAUGCAAGUCAGGGAAGCAAUUCCCGGCGAAUAGCUCAGUAACACGUCGAUAACCUGCCCUUUGGUCAUGGAUAACCUCGGGAAACUGAGGACAAUACAUGGUAGGGAAUGGGCACUGGAACGUCCCAUUUCUGAAAGGUAACGCCAAAGGAUGGGUCGGCGGCCGAUUAGGUUGUUGGUGAGGUAAUGGCUCACCAAGCCGACGAUCGGUAGGGGCCGUGAGAGCGGUAGCCCCGAGAAGGGAACUGAGACACUGUCCCUAGCCCUAAGGGGUGCAGCAGGCGCGUAACCUUUACAAUGUGCGAAAGCGUGAUAAGGGUACCCUCAGUGCUUAUGCAAUGCAUAGGCUUUUGUCAAGGGUAAAAACCUUGGCGAAUAAGUGGUGGGUAAGACUGGUGCCAGCCGCCGCGGUAACACCAGCGCCACGAGUGGGAACCGCUUUUAUUGGGCCUAAAGCGUCCGUAGCAGGUCAUGUAAAUUCUUUGUGAAAUCAUCCAGCUCAACUGGUUGACGCGCAAAGAACACUGCAUGACUAGGGACCGGGAGGGGCAAGAGGUAUUCUUGGGGGAGCGGUAAAAUGCUAUAAUCCCAAGAGGACCACCUGUGGCGAAGGCGUCUUGCCAGAACGGAUCCGACUGUGAGGGACGAAAGCUAGGGGAGCGAUCCGGAUUAGAUACCCGAGUAGUCCUAGCCGUAAACGCUGCGAGCCAGGUGUUGCGCAAUCUUUAAAAUUGCGCAGUGUCGUAAUGAAGAUGCUAAGCUCGCCGCCUGGGAAGUACGGUCGCAAGGCUGAACCUUAAAGGAAUUGGCGGGGGAGCACCACAAGGGGUGCGGCGUGCGGUUUAAUCUAACUCAACACAGAGAAUCUCACCAGCAGCGACGGCAGGAUGAAAGUCAGGUUGAAGGCCUUACUUGACGAGCCGAGAGGUGGUGCAUGGCCGUCGUCAGCUCGUGCCGUAAGGUGUCCUCUUAAGUGAGGCAACGAGCGAGACCUGUACUCGCAAUUGCUAACAGGCUCAGUGACUGAGCACAAUGCGAGGACUGCCUUGGAAACAAGGAGGAAGGUGCAGGCUACGGUAGGUCUGUAUGCCCCGAAUCUGCUGGGCUACACGCGCGCAACAAUGGUAGGGACAGAAGGAUGCCACUCCGAAAGGAGGAGCUAAUCCCCUAAACCCUGCCCUAGUACAAAUCGAGGCUUGUAACUCAGCCUCGUGACGAUGGAAUCCCUAGUAAUCAGGUGUUAUCAGCGCCUGGUGAAUAUGUCCCUGCUCCUUGCACACACCGCCCGUCAAACCACCCGAGCAGGGUCUAGAUGAGGCUUGUCGUUUUGGAUAUUCCGAAUCUAGGCUCAGUGAGGUGGGUUAAGUCGUCACAAGGUAGCCGUAGGGGAACCUGCGGCUGGAUCACCUCC